GUAGGAGGUGGCUGGUGGGGAGGCAAGGCUGCUAGCAUCCGCCAGGAAGUCGGGGCACAGGAAGUCGUGGGGUGGGGUCUUGGUAUUCGCCUUGUGUGGGCGGGACCAGAGGAAACCAGUAACAAAGUACUGGGCCUGUGGGUCUCCCAGCCCCCCUGAGCACGUGGCAUUCCCGUGCCCUGGGACCUGGGCCGUUUUUGGUAGCAGAGCCUGAGCUCAGAGGACAGGACGGUUCCUGGUGGCUUAUAGCACGACCCAGUGUGCUUGCUGGAGGUCUCAGGUGCACCCAAAUUGGAGCUGGGAGAGUCUGGAGACAAACGAAACUACCUGGCCAAGCCAAGUACUGUUAGCACUUCUGCUACACGAUCAGACUUUGCACAAACUGAUGGGAACCAAAACCAAGUGAAGAGGACUGAAGAUGAACCCACAUUUCAAAAGUCCUUGUCUGCUGGAGGUGGCAUUACCUGUGACCUCGCUUCACAUCUUCAUACUUGGCUGUUGUAGCAGAUUACUGGCAAUAAAAGGUGAUAAGACUGGAAAUGUGGCUGGAACAGGAGCCUGAAUAUGAUGCUCAAGUGACACAGGCAUUGACUACAAGUUGGACAAAAUGGGCUUUUAGUUUAUUCCAGGCUGGAGACUCUGAGUUUGUAAUUCUUCGGCUGGGAGGAAAGUAAACUUUACUUACCAGUGCCUGUGCUGAUCAGAUAACCUCAAAGCCCAGACACACUGCAUAAUUCUCCGACAGCAAUAACUCAGCUGGCAGUUCCCAGGCAGAGAUGUGGGAGAAAGUCCAAUAUCCGGGAAGCGCUAGGAUCUACAACUUCCUGUGGUCUGCCUAGUGAAAUUUGACCAGAUAAGAACAGUUAAUAAGCAGUUCUUGAGAUAGAAAAUCUUCUUUUAUCUCUGAAUGUGGAUAUUUUGAUGUUAAAUAUCUGAAUGGAUGAGGUUAAUUUGAAUAAUCUUCUAUUGUUGCAAGAAAGAUGGAAAAAUGUUCAGGAAAACUUGAAAAACUCUUCAUACCUAUGGCAUGAACUGAAAGAAGUAUUUUCUUAUUCUGAAAAAUGACGACUCCACUGUUUUGUGUGAGGGUAGAAGCUUUUAAGGGCUGGACCCUGAGGUACCCCAUUGUGGUGCCUAGGAGGAAAUCAAGACUCAUUCUGGACCUGCCUUCUGUAACACUUUGCAAGUCAUGCCAGAUUCCCGUUAAGGCUGAACAAUUUACCUUGAGGUCCCUAAAUAUUUCCAACUGCAAUUAAUGGCUUGAAAAAGAAAACAAGCAUUGCAAUGAAAGCAUUUAAUGGCUAUAAAUUCAAUUGCCAAGAAGUUCUUCUCUUUUGAAUACUCAAAGGACAGGAUCCCUGGGCAAUGACUUAUUAUUUCCCUUACCAGCACAGCAAUGAUUCCAGAGACUGUCCAGGAGUUGGAAACACAUCUGAGAUCUGCACUGAAGAGAGAAGGGAAGCUGGAAGACACAGUGGAUUGGCUUUUCAUACACCUGGGAUUGGACUGAGUUCCACAAGCCAGAAAUCCAAAAUGAAGAUGUCAACAGGCUCUGGGGAAAAAAUCCUUCCUUACUUGUUCCAGCCUUUCAUGGCUCCAGCCAUUCCCUGGUUUGUCACAGCAUAACUCCAAUCUCUGCCUCCCUCUUCACAUGGUCUUCUUCUCUGUGUGUCACUUGAUUUCUCCUCUUCUUGUAAGGACAUCAGUUAUUGGAUUUAGAGAUUUUUCUAAUUCCAGCAUGGUAUUGUCCUGAGAUCCUUAACUAAUUACAAUUGCAAAGAAACUUUCUCCAAAUAAGGUUACAUUCUGAGCUUUUAGGUGGAUAUAAAUUUGUAUGUGGGGGAUAUUAUUAAACCCACUACAAUAUCCAGUUGUUCCGCCACGAUUUAUUGAAAAGACUACCAUUUUGCCAUUGAAUUACAUUGCAAUCUUUGUCAAAAUUUAAUAGUCUUUAUAGGUGUGGCUCCAGUUGUGGACUCUGUAUUCUGAUCCAUUGUUCUAUUUGUUUAUGUUUAAAGCAAUGCCACUUUAAAUAUAGCUUUAGAGCACGUCUUAAAAUCAGGUGGUGUGUCAUCCUUAUUUUCCUUUUCAAAGUUGUUUGGCUAUAUGAAUAUUGAAUAUUCAUAUCAAUAUUCACAUACUGAUAUGUGUUUUGUUUUAUUUUAUUUUUAUUCAAGUAUAAUGAACAUAGUGUUAUAUUAGUUUCAGGUAUGUAAUAUGAUUCAACAAUGCUAUACAUUUCUCAGUGCUCAUCAUGAUAACUGUACUCUUAAACCUCUAUUUCCCCCUGUUUUUUAUAUAUUUUUCAGCAAUUUCUACAAAAAUUCCUCUGGGAUUUUGACUGGAUUGUGUAGAACAUACAGAUGAGUACAGAGAGAAUUAACAUCUCAUAGAAAUGAAACUGAUUUUUGUAUGUUGACCCUGUAGUCAGUGAACCUUAUAAAUUUACUUAUUGCUAUUGGCUUUUUAUUUUCACAAAUGCUUUAGAAUUUGCUACCUACAAGAUUUUGCUGUUUGCAAAUAAAGACAGUUUUCCAGUUUGAUGUCCUUUAUUUUUGUUUUUGUACCAUAUUUUACCAGCAAGAACCUCCAGUGCAACACUGAAUAUAAGUGGUGAGAGUGGACGCCUUUAACAGGGUUCUAAGCUCAGGUGGAGAUAAUUCAGUUUCUCACCUGAAUGAUACUAACAGGGCUUUUGUUGUUUAUGUUUUUGGUAGAUAUUGUUAAUCAGGUUGAGGAUGCUCCCUUCCAUUUCUAGUUUGCCAAGAGUUUUUAUCAUUAACAGGUGUUGAAUUUGAUCAAAUUCUUUUUCUGCAUUUGUUAAAAUGACAUAUGGCAUUUCUCCUUUAUUCUAUUUAUAUAAUUAAUAGCAUUGAUUUAGUUUUUUGAAUACUGAAUCUCCCUUGCAAUCCUGCAUUAAACACAUACUCAUAAUGUAGUAUCCCUUUCAAUAUAUUCAAUUGUAUUCAUUUUGCCAUUUUUUUUUUGAGGAUUUUUGUAUCUAUAUUCUUAGGGAAUGUUGAUCUCGUUUUUCCUUGUAGUGUCAUUGUCUGAUUUUAUCAAUGUAAUAAUCAUAAAAAUACUUUUUUUUUUUUACUAUUCAGAACAUCAUUUAUCUCCAUAAAUUGCUGGCUUGUAUUAAUGGACUUUAAAAAGUAAAUAUAUAAAAACAUAUUAUUGUGAUAAAAACAUAUUAUUGUAAAGAAAGCAAAUGGGCAAAAAGCAGAAUUCAAAAUAACAUUUCUUAAAGUUAAUCAUAAUGAGACUAAGUGGCGUUACCAUACAUACUGAGAAAUGCAUCUAAAUAAAACAUAUAUAUUCUUCUUUAGAAAUUAUUCUGUCCAUAUGAAUCCAAACAUUCAGCUGAAAACUGACUUUUUUGAAAUUAAGACUUAGAAAUCGCCAUUAUUGCAGUGAUAGAUAUUUGGCCUUUAAUCUUUGUUGCUUUAAGACAAACUCACUACGGCUCUGUGGCUAAUCUAGAAUUUUAGUGACACCAAAACAGUGCGUUCUGGAGUUUG